UAAGCCGUAAAAAAGAACCAACAACAGCUUAGACCCAAGCCGUAUUUUCCCGAAUUUUUUAAAUCGCGGAUGAAAUAAAAGGUACACAGGAGGACCAGGUGGAGUAGGUGGACCAGUGGACUAGUUGGACCAGGAGGACUAGCUGGACCAGGUGGACAAAGUGGACCAGGUCGAUUGGGGGGACCAGGUGGGCUGGGUGGACCAGGAUAGAUAGGCUUGAAUAAUAUGAGGGAGUACACAGUGUACUGCAUUUUAGGAAUCCAACGUGGGUGAACUGCCACAGGUUCAUAAUUUUAAUGUUUUUUUAAUUAUAAAUA